CUCGUAGGCGGCCAACUAAGUCAGACGUGAAAUCCCCCGGCUUAACCAGGGAACUGCGUCUGAUACUGGAUGGCUUGAGUUUGGGAGAGGGAUGCGAAAUUCCAGGUGUAGCGGUGAAAUGCGUAGAUAUCUGGAGGAACACCGGUGGCGAAGGCGACAUCCUGGACCAACACUGACGCUGAGUGAGCGAAAGCCAGGGGAGCAAACG
rnacentral:rRNA from 1 species